UCGUUUUGCCCUCUUAUCACCGGGGGGCGAAAAUUUGAAACAGGGAUCAUCAUCAUCAUCAUCAUCACCAUCUCGGCAUCUCCCAUCUCCGAGCUGUUAACACGAAAUCAAAAAUGGGCUCGAAGGAAAUGAGUUUGGUGCUCUUAAUGAUGGCCGUGGUCGUGGCAGCGGCAGCCACGCCGAGUGGCAUCAAGAGCAUUAAUGUUGUUGGCCGCAUUGAAGAUGAAAAUGAGAUGUCGAUGCCGACGGAGGAGAGCCGUCGCCACCUUAAUGCAGGCCAAGACUGUAUCAGCUAUGACGCAAUGUUAGCCAAUAAGGUUCCAUGCUCCCUAAAAGGUCAUUCUUAUUACGAUUGCCAUAACAGGACCGGCAGCGGCCCUGUUAACCCUUACCGUCGCGAGUGCUCCACCUCCACAAACUGCGAAAGGUCAACCAGCUGAGGCUAAUGAUGGCACUCAGGGGAGAUUCAAGAGUUUACAGAAACGAGAGAAAUAACAUUUUUCAAUAUUGAUUGUGCCUUAUACUAUAUGGGGGUUCAUUGGAUAUUUUGCUAUUGAAAAUUAAUUUCCUCCUUUAAGUUUUCCUCUUUUAUUAUUUUAUUUUGUAAUUUUUAUGGAAUACAAAUCAGGAGUAUGAAUAUUGAGAAAAAUAUUUAGUAAUUUAAAUACACAGUUUUCUUUGAAAAAUAUCAAUUGCUGAUGCGUUAUAGUCUUGAGUAUGGGAAUGAAGGCAUAAACAUGGAAAGCGAGCAUGGAAGUCUAAAUCAAACACCGAAUGCAAAAUUAAAUUAUUCUUCUUUCCAUCGAUCCUAGUAAUCUUGAGGUUUGAUUUUUAUUAUUAAAACAAAAUUUGUAGUUGUAACAUAAUAUAAGUGUGGGGAAACCGGAAAAAAUAAUUGUACAAAUGACUAUAUUUUUAAAAUUAAUUUUUCUAUUUAAAAAAUAGCAUUGUCGCUAACAUAAUUAAAUAGUUUACAAAAUAUAAGCACAUAUAUGUAUUACUUAAAAGGGCGUACGUAAAAAUGUUAGUUUUAAACAAACAACUUAACUUUCCAAUUGGGAAGGAAAAAAAAAUGUUUCAAUUUUGGCGACCAUGUAUUUGCUAGGUGUUAUGAACUAUAAAAUUUUGCUUGGUGUGAUUUUGACAUUAUAGAUUGGUGAGAAUGACACUUUGAACCUCUUAUAAAAUAUUUUUAUUACUUACAUUUUUUUAUAAAAGUUUAAUUCCUCAUUUCUUCCAUGGUAUGAAAAAUAUAUAGUAAUAGAACAAACACACCAUUGGAGAUGGUAUUUAAAUAUGAUAUUUUAGCAAAUAAAUUAACUCUAUUAUUUUUACAUUGUAGAGCUACAUCUCAAAACAAUCAAUUUGUUGCAAAGAAAUCAUAUUUAUCCAAGAAAGAUAUUAAUUGUGAAUGAGGAAUUUAGAAAAGAAGGCCUUUGAAAUUAGAGACCGAUCCAGAUAUUCGAUUUACUAAAAUUAAAUCCUUGGAUAAAUACAUUUACAUGUCAGAUUAUAAUUAAACCAUUAAUAUUAAUCAAACAAAUAUUCUUAAAAGUUAUAUACGCACGUGGGCGAGUUGACCCGAUCAAAAAGAACUAAAAAUAUCCAUAUAUAAAUAUGUCAUUUAAUUCAGGUUAGGGCCAAUUUUAGUAUCACCAAAUUGUGUAGAAUUCUCUAUAUAAAGUCCAAUUCUACAUGUUUGAUAGUCGUGCUUCCCUUGAGAGGGUUCACACAUCUCUCCAAGGUUACACAAACAUCUCUGAUCGGACUAAUCAACGUUCUUUGUAUUGUUUGUUUUUUUUUCAAUCUUUAUUAAUGGGUUCGAAGGUACUGAGUUUGAUGUUCCUAAUGUUGGCGGUGGUUAUGACAAUGGCAAGGCCCGUGGAAGAAGACGGUCGUCGUCAGCUUGGUGGCGGAGGCGGGUUCAUAAGCUACGAUGCCUUGAAAGCCGAUUCGGUUCCGUGCAACCAACGUGGUGCUUCCUACUACGGUUGCAGAUCAGCUAGCGGACCGGUUAACCCUUACCGUCGUGAGUGCAGUACCGCGACAAACUGCCAAAGGUCAACCGGCUAGGGCUCGUAAUAACACUCAAGGGGAUGCAAAGUUUACAGAAAUGAGAGAUACUUUUUUGCAUCUGCAGAUUCCGUGCAAAUAUCAUUACUCUUAUUUCCUCCAUUCCGAUAUUUUUUGUUUGUACAGAUUCUGUGCAAAUAUCAUUACUCUUAUUAUUCCAUUCCUUUCCAAAAGGCUAGGGUAAUUGACACUGUAAUUAAUUCCUUUUAUUUGGCGAAAACAUGAGAAAAAUAAGAAAGAAAAAGAAACAAUGUUUGUUGCCUUUUUUUAUUAGCCAAGCGAGUAAGUCCCACGUUUAAGUCAUCUUGACCUGUUAAGUGUUAAGUGAAUCGAAUCCAUGAAGCCUUUAGUGCAUCAUACAAAACAUUCAUUGAUAUGUAGAUAUGUACUGCUACCGGUGAAACACGGAUUUUUAUAAUUCAACCUCACAUCUCAUACGAUCAUUGAAACAUUAAUCGGAGUUGCUAUUGUCCUAAAUUUUUGAAAGAUUUUGUGUUGCCUAUUCUUUGGUGCUAACUACUUUAAUUUUUUAAUUUAUCAACCACUAAUUACUUGAGUAAAUUUUACUCAAGAGAAGAUCUUAAUCCACGAAUUCAUACAUCUACAGAUAAAAACUGGAAGAUAAUUUUAUUAACAAAUAGAAAUUUAAAAAAUUUGGGAACUACUCUCAAAAUCCAAUAUCUUAUACACCCAAAUGGAUCCCCUUAGCACCCAAAUAGAUCCCUUUAGUACCCAAGGAAAUGCUUUCUCUACACUCUUGAAGAGCUCACUUGCAAUGCUCUUAGAUCUCACAAUUUUUGGAUGAUCAAACAAAUAAAGAAUUGCCCUUCUAUUUGUAAGGAGCAUUGCUCACCGACCACAAGUUUCAAUUUGGCUUUAAUUUGCCAAAUUGGCAAACUGUGCUCAACUUUGGUUUGAUUUUUCAACAGUUUCAAAUAAAAAGCAUUGCCUCUACUUUUUUAAUUUUUCCUUUAUAAAUAACAUAAUUAUUUCAUUCAGUUUCCAAAGAAAAUAGUACAAAAAUAUGCCCAUAAUAUAUAUUUAAAAUACUUUAUAUGUGUUUUUCUUUUUUCUUUUUUUGUUGGACACCCGAUUUCAAGUUCUAGGUAAGAUCUAAAAAAUUAAUUUCAAUUUUACCCAUUCCUACAUCCUUUAUUUACAGACAGUUCCUUGCCGCAGACAGUUUGAUAGACUAAUAUGAAAUCUUACUUAAGUGUAGGGAAGAAAACUGAUCCAUUGGUUUAUUAUUAAAUGAUAUCUCCAUGAAAUAUACAUACAACACAUUCGAGCUCCAGCGGAAAUACUUCUUAGCUUUUUACAUUUUUUUUUCCUCUUCUUUCUUCAUCACAAACCUUAACAUAUAUAAUGAAUUAGAGCAAAGAAAAUUAUUGGUGUAUAACAGAUUUUUUUUUAUAAAAUUUUUAGAUUCUCUUGUGAAGUUAAUGAAAUUAAGUUGCUGCUUUUACCCCCAGCCGAAAGCCGAUCAUGGUAAUUCUAGUUUCUCAAUUAUAUACAAUGCUUCGUCUGUAAUUUAGCCCCAAAAAACAGAUAAAUAAAUAAAUAAAACCGGGCGAAUAAUCUGUACAAGCAUUUCUCUCAGUAAUUUUCUUCUAUUAAAGUCUUUUCCUGCCAAUAAUUUUCUAUGCUUAAGUUGAUUACCAAACUGAAGGUUUACGACAAAGAUUGUUACAGGAAAAAGAAAGAAGCAAGAAGCGCUGGGCAUAAAUUUUUUUUAUAAAAAAAAUAUGUUGACAAAGAUAAAAAAAUCUAUUAAUUUAGCGAAUAUUAAUAUAUCGGUAAAUUACUAAUUUAUCAAUUUAUGAAGAUAAUAUCACGUUCGUAAUAGAAAAUUUUAUGGAGUAUAGAGGUAGUAUAAUUAAAUAAUGUAGUGAUUCUGUCAAGCUGUAUAAUAUUAUUUUAAUUUGAUCUUAAUUAAAUGAAUCAAUCCCUUGAUAAUCCUUUGACUAGAUUACAAUUACACGCUAACUUGCCCAAGAAGACUUUAUGGAGAGAAUAUAUAAUCUCAAUCUCCCUUUUAUUUCUCUUAACAUAACACAUAGAUUAUAAUGUGGUUUUUCCUUUGAAAAGUGAAAAGAAUGUAACAAUGACAAAUGAAUGAAUAAAACAUUCUCCCAAUACAAUAAAGAAAAUCAUAGACAUAUCAUAUGUACUUAAUUUCAAAUUAGUUAAUUAUUUAUUCACGGAUUAAUUAGGUCUUAUAGAAACAUAAGAUCUUUUUGAAACUCUAUUAUCUAAUAUAUUUAUCAAAUUAUGAAUUUACUACAUUAGCUCCUUGAGAUUGAUAAAAAUAAUUAUUUAAUUGAGAUUAUCAAUUUUUUUAUCAUUAAUUUAAUAAAGUUCUACUCUAUUAGGAUGGGUCCAACGACAAUGUACAUACAGUAAAUUAUUAAAAAAAAAAUGGAUUGAGUAUAAAAGAAAGAUUGUUGAUGGGUAAGAUUUGAUUCUAAUCUAAUGAUAGAAAAAAAAAAAAUUCCCAGCCAUCAAUUAAUGGAGAGAAUAUAUAAUCUCAAUCUCCCUUUUAUUUCUCUUAACAUAACACAUAGAUUAUAAUGUGGUUUUUCCUUUGAAAAGUGAAAAGAAUGUAACAAUAACAAAUGAAUGAAUAAAACAUUCUGUCAGUACAAUAAAGAAAAUCAUAGACAUAUCAUAUGUACUUCAUUUCAAAUUAGUUAAUUAUUUAUUCAUGUAUUAAUUAGGUCUUAUAGGGUGCGUUUGGUACAUGGUUUAGAUAUGAGUUGCAGCUUUAAUUAGGGAGCUAAGACAAUAACCAAACCACUUCUGCAACUGUGCUAUAGUGCUCUAUGGGUGCAUUUAUUAUAUUGUAUUGCAUUAGCACUGUAUUAUAAUAAUACUGUAUAAUGUUUGGUACUACAUUGUACUGUAAUAAAUUUUUUGAUUAAUUUAAAUUAAAUAUUAUAUUAUAUUAAUAUACUUAAAUUAUACUUAUAUUUUAUAUUAUUAUUAAUUUUAAAUUAAUAUUAUUUAAAUUUAUUUAUAUUUAAUUAUUUAUUAUUAGUUAUAAUAAAUUAUAAUGUAAAAAAUAAUAUAAUAUAAUAAUAUUGAAUAAUAAAUUACAUGUUUAUUAAUCUAUAUUAAUAAUUAUAAUAUAAAAAUAAUAUUAAAUUAAAAGUUAUAUUUAAUAAUAAUUAUUAUUAUUAUUUUAAUAAAGCAAAAGACAAAAAGCAAAAGUCAAAAAGCAAAACUAAAAAAGGGGCUCCAGCGACAGUUACAAAAGCAAGGGAGAGAGAAAAAAAAAUACAAAACAAAACGGCAGCUGGUUUAACUUAAUGCGGCAACAGCCGCAUUAGUUGGGCUUUUAAUGUGGUGAUUCUGUAGUUUUUUAUUUGUCAAACAUGGGCUUGUGUUAAAUUAAUACAAUGAGGUGUUUUAAUACAACAUCCAAACAAGUCCAUAAAAACAUAAGAUCUUUUUAAAACUCUAUUAUCUAAUAAAUUUAUCAAAUUAUUAAUUUAUUACAUUAGCUCCAAGUCGAGAUUGAUAAAAGUAAUUAUUUAAUCGAGAUUACCAAUUUAAUAAAGUUCUACUCUAUUAGGAUGGGGUCCAACGACAAUGUACAUACAGUAAAUUAUUAAAAAAAAAUGGAUUGAGUAUAAAACAAAGAUUGUUGAUGGGUAAGAUUUGAUUGUAAUCUAAUGAUAGCAAAGAAAAAAAAUUCCCAGCCAUCAAUUAAUGGACCCACGUCAACCCCGUCUAUGAAAAUGAAAAAGAAAAAAAAUAGUCUUAAGAGUGAUUGAGAUUGAGUUCACUGCUCGAAAAGAAAAUAUUAGUUAAGUUUGAUGUUCGCUAUUUUUAAAUAAAUGUCUAUACAUUUUACGACUUAUUUUUUAAUUUUUAAUUUUUAAAAAAUUAAACUCCACUAAUAAAUUAAAUAAAACUACUUGAAAACUAUCUCGAUUAACAAGAUAGAUUUUUGAGUUAUUAAGAAUAUUGAGGGACGAUGAAUGAUGGAUGUAUCACGUACAUUUCCGCGCGUCGGUUAUUUUCUGUUCAGUAUGAUUGUUCGUUCGCUUAAUACGGGCAGCUCAUAAGCUUGCAAGAUUAGUUUUUCCCAAACGGGCUUUCCGUAUUUCGUUGGAGCAACUUCCUUCUAAAGUUUCGGAUGGUGUGUAAGUAAUUCUGUAAGUUUUAUUAGUUUAUAUUUGAAAUUAUUUGAAAAAAAAAAAGAUUUUUAUACUAGAUUAGAGAAAAAAAAAAAGAAUUUGAGUUUUAAAAUUAGGGAAGAACAUUGAUCAAUUAACUAAAACUAAAUAAGUGGAUAUACGUUUAGUUACAAACCAUUAACCAUCAAUACUAUUCGAUCAAAUAAGCACAUUAUCCACGUCGUUGAGUUGACCUGAUCAAAAACUAAAAAUACUACAUCAUAUAUUUAGGUUUGUGUAAAAGAUAAAUAUUCUUUUAGUCCAUAUAAUUCUAAUUAAUUACUCAAUUAGUUUUAAUAUUUUUAAAAUUACAAUGAACAUCCUAUCAUUACCUUUUUUUUAAUAAUGAUACGUUAAAAUAACAAAUCUACCUCCGUUUGGUACAGCUUAUUAAAUAGAGCUUAUAACAGUAGAACUUAUAGCAGUAAAGCUUAUACCAAUAGAGCUUUUAGAUAAAAAGUCAUUGGGUAUUUGGUUGUCAAUAAAAAAAAUACUUUUGAACCAUUAAACUGUAUGAUAUUUUUUAUAUUAUAUAUUUUUUGGAGAAGCUCUCUAACCUCUACUCCCAAAAGCUCAAAUUUUGGGCUUUUGCCAGUAGAGGUAAAUUAGCUUAUUUAAGCUAAAAAAACUCUACUAAAAAAAUAACCAAACACCAUAAAAAUUUUUAAAAAGUGCUUAUGCGAUUAAAUAAGCAUUUAUGGCUCUUAAAUAAAGCAUACUAAACAAGCACUUAUACUUAUUUAAAUCAAUUCUAUUAUGCCACAAUCUAGAUUUCUAUGCUACUCUACUCACAUUUGUGGGAGAAAUAUCUAAUUCCAUUGACAUUAAUUCCCUGUUCUUAUCUUAUUACUUUAAUAAUUGCUUAAUCUAAGCUUUCAAGGAUAAAACAGAUAUUAACUAAAAUAAGAUAUACCAAAUGGACCUUUUUGCUAUUUUUUAAAAUUAUAAGAACUAACUCAGUAACUAACUCAAAUUAUAAGGACUAACAAAGUAAUUAUCCUUGCAUAAAUUUUAGAUCACCAUUAAAUUAGAUGGUGUAGAUAAUUCUAUAUAAAGUGAAAAAUUACGCACGUUUGAUGAAAUUGUGCAUUAAUUUCCCAAAUUUCUCUAAUCCCCUGUCAUAAGGGGGGCAACAAAACUUGAAAAAGAAAAGGGAUCAUCUCCGAGUUAAAACGAAAGCAACGGAAGGAAAAAAAAAUGGGUUCAAAGCUGAUGAGUUUGUUGUUCUUAACAACGGCGGUGGUGGUGGUGGCAAUGGCAGCCGAGUCCAGAGCCUUCGACGGAAGCAACUGGGGUCGGAUCAACAACGUCGGCCGCAUCAACGAAUACGACGAGAAUGAGAUGUUGAUGCCGACCGAAGAGAGCCGUCGCCAGCUCUGGGGAGGAGGCUUCAUUAGCUACGGCGCCCUGAGGGCCAACUCUGUCCCGUGCAACCGACGCGGCACUUCCUAUUACAACUGCAACCACGGUGGCGGACCCGUUAACCCUUACCG
rnacentral:lncRNA from 1 species